rnacentral:rRNA from 1 species
AGAGUUUGAUCCUGGCUCAGGAUGAACGCUGGCGGUAUGCUUAACACAUGCAAGUCGAACGGACUCUUCGGAGUUAGUGGCGGACGGGUGAGUAACGCGUGAGAAUCUGGCUUCAGGUUCGGGACAACAGUUGGAAACGGCUGCUAAUACCGGAUGUGCCUUAUGGUGAAAGAUUUAUCACCUGAAGAUGAGCUCGCGUCUGAUUAGCUAGUAGGUGUGGUAAGAGCGCACCUAGGCGACGAUCAGUAGCUGGUCUGAGAGGAUGAUCAGCCACACUGGGACUGAGACACGGCCCAGACUCCUACGGGAGGCAGCAGUGGGGAAUUUUCCGCAAUGGGCGAAAGCCUGACGGAGCAAUACCGCGUGAGGGAGGAAGGCUCUAGGGUUGUAAACCUCUUUUCUCAGGGAAGAACAAAAUGACGGUACCUGAGGAAUAAGCAUCGGCUAACUCCGUGCCAGCAGCCGCGGUAAUACGGAGGAUGCAAGCGUUAUCCGGAUUUAUUGGGCGUAAAGCGUCCGCAGGUGGCAGUUCAAGUCUGCUGUCAAAGGUCGGGGCUCAACCCCGAACAGGCAGUGGAAACUGAACAGCUAGAGUACGGUAGGGGCAGAGGGAAUUCCCAGUGUAGCGGUGAAAUGCGUAGAGAUUGGGAAGAACACCGGUGGCGAAAGCGCUCUGCUAGGCCGAAACUGACACUCAUGGACGAAAGCUAGGGGAGCGAAUGGGAUUAGAUACCCCCGUAGUCC